rnacentral:ncRNA from 2 species
GAAUGCCAAUGGUUCGAAGGUGCCCUCGCGCGCGUCAAGCGGCGGGGGUUAAACGGGAAACAGGUGCGCCGCGGCCACGCCGCGGCAAAUCCUGUGCUGCCCCCGCAACGGUCAGCAGGUACAAAGGUGUCACGCCGCGCCGGCAGGCAGCGGCAGCCACUGCGCAUCGAUGCGUGGGAAGGCGGCACCCCGGACGCGCCCCAGUGGCAGGCGUCCCCCUGCGAGCCCGGAUACCGGCCUUCGACCGAUCACCGAG